rnacentral:rRNA from 1 species
GCGUGGGUGAAGAAGGCCUUAGGGUUGUAAAACCCUUUCAGCGGGGAAGAUGAUGACGGUACCCGCAGAAGAAGCCCCGGCUAACUCCGUGCCAGCAGCCGCGGUAAUACGGAGGGGGCUAGCGUUGUUCGGAAUUACUGGGCGUAAAGGGCGUGUAGGCGGUUUGCCAAGUCAGAUGUGAAAGCCCCGGGCUUAACCUGGGAACUGCAUUUGAGACUGGCAGGCUAGAGGUUGGAAGAGGAGAGUGGAAUUCCCAGUGUAGAGGUGAAAUUCGU